CACGUAGGGCGCGAGCGUUGUCCGGAAUUAUUGGGCGUAAAGAGCUCGUAGGCGGCCUGUUGCGUCCGCUGUGAAAGCCCGGGGCUUAACCCCGGGUCUGCAGUGGAUACGGGCAGGCUAGAGGUAGGUAGGGGAGAAUGGAAUUCCCGGUGUAGCGGUGAAAUGCGCAGAUAUCGGGAGGAACACCGGUGGCGAAGGCGGGUCUCUGGGCCGAUAUUGACGCUGAGGAGCGAAAGCGUGGGGAGCGAACAGG
rnacentral:rRNA from 1 species